rnacentral:rRNA from 1 species
CGCGUAGGCGGACAUUUAAGUCAGGGGUGAAAUCCCGGGGCUCAACCCCGGAACUGCCCUUGAUACUGGGUGUCUUGAGUUCGAGAGAGGUGAGUGGAAUUCCGAGUGUAGAGGUGAAAUUCGUAGAUAUUCGGAGGAACACCAGUGGCGAAGGCGGCUCAUUGGCUCGAUACUGACGCUGAGGUGCGAAAGUGUGGGGAGCAAACA